GAGUUCACUUUGGCAACACAAAUACUAAAAUUGGAAUAAUUAUGAGAAGACUAGCAUGGCCCCUAUGCAGGAUGACAUGCAACUAUAUAUGUUUUAUUAAUAUAAUUUU